CAGACUUCCAACUGUACCAUGACAGUGAAUUUUGAGAUAAAUAAAUGCAGUUCCUGUUUCAGAAGGCCUUAUAGUACCCUGAAAAUCAUACAGGAGUUCAAGCAAGAUGGACGACAAGUAAGCCAUCGGCUGUCCGUGCUUCAGUAACUUAAUCAUAAUAAUAGUUCCCAUCUCAAACAACCGCUUUAAAGACAAAAAAGAGAUAUUGAUGUAAACUACUUAGCAGAGUGCCUGGCCAAUGGUAAGCCUGAUCUUGAACAUGCGGUUUUGCCUUCUGGCAUGUCUAUGAAAGAAAGGAGACUCCAGAUGAUGUUUUCUUCCUUCAGGACUGGGAGGGGGUUACUCUUUCUUCUGCUGGAAGAGGAGAGAAAAAUGACAUGUGGGAAGGAAUAAAGAGCAGCAAAAAGGACCAGUAUCCUGAAAAAAUUCCUGAUUAUUAGAGAUACAUUGUCACUGAACUCUGAUACAGAAUUGGAGUAUCAUCCCACAUUGAUAAGAAUCUCACACUUUUCAAAACAAAUCAAAUUGAUUAAAAAUAUUGGC
rnacentral:lncRNA from 1 species